GUGCUCCUUUUGGCAGCAUAUAUCCUAAAUUUAGAGUGAUAAAGAGAAGAUUAGGAAGACCCCUAGCAAAAAUAAUACGGAAAUUUGCAAAAUAUUCUGUAUUUUA
rnacentral:snRNA from 1 species